rnacentral:rRNA from 1 species
GACGUAGGGGGCAAGCGUUGUUCGGAAUUAUUGGGCGUAAAGCGCUCGUAGGCGGGACUGGAAGUCCGUGUUGAAAGACCUCGGCUCAACUGAGGGACCGGCUCGGAUACUCUAGUUCUUGAGGCAAUCAGAGGGUGAUGGAAUUCCCGGUGUAGCGGUGAAAUGCGCAGAUAUCGGGAAGAACACCCGUGGCGAAGGCGGCACUCUGGGACGGUACUGACGCUGAGACGCGAAAGCGUGGAGAGCGAACAGG